CGUGUAGGCGGCCGUUUAAGUUGGGUGUGAAAGCCCGGGGCUCAACCCCGGGACGCCGCCCAAGACUGGACGGCUUGAGGACGGAAGAGGGGAGUGGAAUUCCAGGUGUAGCGGUGAAAUGCGUAGAGAUCUGGAGGAACACCCGUGGCGAAGGCGGCUCCCUGGUCCGUCCCUGACGCUGAGACGCGAAAGCGCGGGGAGCGAACG
rnacentral:rRNA from 1 species